AAAGUCCUAUAAACACA
rnacentral:tRNA from 2 species